CUUGUUGUGAUUGAACAAAGAAAAUAUUGGUAUUGAUGGAUGGAAUACUUACUUGAAGAUUAGAACUCAAAGUCACCAAUGACCUUUCAUUUGAUCUCAACCAAGAUGUUGGCAUGUGGAUGGGGUCCUCGUGGGAGCAGUAUUAGCAACACUUGACCAAAGUCAAGUGCUAGUUACAGACUCAUGGAAGACUUGAACUUUUGGGACGUUUUAAUACCAUUGGAGAUAAGACUUUCGAUGAAGCGUUAUAGUAACACCAGACUUAAUCUAGUUUCGCUCGGAUCUAGAUUUUAAGUUGUUGACUUUGACUUUAUUGUAUCCUUAUAUAUAAGUAUAAAGAGGUUUGGGGAGAA